rnacentral:rRNA from 1 species
UACGAAGGGGGCUAGCGUUGCUCGGAAUCAUUGGGCGUAAAGCGCGCGUAGGUGGCCAUGUAAGUCCGCUGUGAAAGUCAAAGGCUCAACCUUUGAAAGCCGGUGGAUACUGCAUGGCUAGAGUACGGAAGAGGCGAGUGGAAUUCCUGGUGUAGCGGUGGAAUGCGCAGAUAUCAGGAGGAACACCAAUAGCGAAGGCAGCUCGCUGGGACGUCACUGACACUGAGGCGCGAAAGCGUGGGGAGCGAACAGG